GGUGUUGGGGCUAAAGGAAGUGUGGAACAAAAUCGAGGACUAACGGACAGAAACUUAUUAUAAGGCUAUAUAAAUGGAUAAGGUUGCACAACAAACUAAAGUCCAAAAGAUACACGUAACUUUAUAUAGUAAAGUAAGUAGUUAAUCGAGGAAAGAUAU
rnacentral:ncRNA from 1 species